rnacentral:misc_RNA from 1 species
AAUGAGGUGACGUGCACCCUAAGGACCAAUGGUUUUCAAGAUGGGAAAGUGCCAGAUGACAAUCAAGAAUACCAGGUGACAUCAGUGCACCAAGAUUACCCUCCUAGAAUGCAGAUUCCAGCACCAAGGUGGAUGCUAUAUAAAUUCAGAAUCUGAACAGAGUACAACAAAUCAUGAGAGCUAUGCUGACAUUUUGCAGACCAAUAUCUGUCUUAAGAGGUUUGUCCCUAACCAAAUGAGUGCCUGGGUCCAAGGUACCAGGAUGACUGGGAGCUUUGUUGUUUUAGCCACAUGCUAGACAAUAUCCCAGUAA